rnacentral:rRNA from 1 species
GAUGAACGCUGGCGCCCUUUGCCUAAUACAUGCAAGUCGGACGGAGCGCUUCGGCGCUCAGUGGCGAACGGGUGAGUAGCACAUGGGCAACCUGCCCUUCAGAGGGGGACAACAGCUGGAAACGGCUGCUAAAACCGCAUACGCGCGGACGGGACAUCCCGUCCACGUUAAACGUCCUUUAGGGGACGGCUGAAGGAUGGGCCUGUGGCGCAUUACCUUGUUGGCGGGGCAACGGCCCACCAAGGCGACGAUGCGUAGCCGGCCUGAGAGGGCGGACGGCCACACUGGGACUGAGACACGGCCCAGACUCCUACGGGAGGCAGCAAUAGGGAUUUUUUUGCAAUGGGGGGAACCCUGACCAAUCAACGCCGCGUGAACGAGGAAGGCCUUCGGGUCGUAAAGUUCUGUUGCGAACGAAGAACACCGGAGGGAGGAAAUGACCUCCGGGUGACGGUACUUCGCGAGAAAGCCUCGGCUAACUAC